rnacentral:rRNA from 1 species
GAGUUUGAUCAUGGCUCAGAGCGAACGCUGGCGGCAGGCUUAACACAUGCAAGUCGAACGGGCGUAGCAAUACGUCAGUGGCAGACGGGUGAGUAACGCGUGGGAACGUACCUUUUGGUUCGGAACAACUGAGGGAAACUUCAGCUAAUACCGAAUAAGCCCUUACGGGGAAAGAUUUAUCGCCGAAAGAUCGGCCCGCGUCUGAUUAGCUUGUUGGUGAGGUAACGGCUCACCAAGGCGACGAUCAGUAGCUGGUCUGAGAGGAUGAUCAGCCACAUUGGGACUGAGACACGGCCCAAACUCCUACGGGAGGCAGCAGUGGGGAAUAUUGGACAAUGGGCGAAAGCCUGAUCCAGCCAUGCCGCGUGAGUGAUGAAGGCCCUAGGGUUGUAAAGCUCUUUUGUGCGGGAAGAUAAUGACGGUACCGCAAGAAUAAGCCCCGGCUAACUUCGUGCCAGCAGCCGCCGCGGUAAC